rnacentral:rRNA from 1 species
AACCUUACCUACCCUUGACAUGUACGGAAUUCCGCUGAGAGGUGGAAGUGCCCGAAAGGGAGCCGUAACACAGGUGCUGCAUGGCUGUCGUCAGCUCGUGUCGUGAGAUGUUGGGUUAAGUCCCGCAACGAGCGCAACCCUUGUCCCUAGUUGCUACGCAAGAGCACUCCAGGGAGACUGCCGGUGACAAACGGGAGGAAGGUGGGGAUGACGUCAAGUCCUCAUGGCCCUUAUGGGUAGGGCUUCACACGUCAUACAAUGGUCGGACUUCGUUUGUUGCCAAGCCGCGAGGUGGAGCCAAUCCCAGAAAACCGAUCGUAGUCCGGAUCGCAGUCUGCAACUCGACUGCGUGAAGCUGGAAUCGCUAGUAAUCGCGGA